AAUCAACGCUGGCGGCGCGCUUAACACAUGCAGGUCGCACGAGAAAGGGAGCAAUCCUGAGUAAAGUGGCGUACGGGUGAGUAACACGUGGGAAUCUACCUCUUGGCGGGGAAUAACCCUGGGAAACCGGGGCUAAUACCGCAUAAGCUCGUGAGAGGAAAGCAGCAAUGCACCGAGAGAGGAGCCCGCGGCCGAUUAGCUAGUUGGUGGGGUAAUGGCUCACCAAGGCGAAGAUCGGUAGCCGGCCUGAGAGGGCACACGGCCACACUGGCACUGAAACACGGGCCAGACUCCUACGGGAGGCAGCAGUGGGGAAUCUUGCACAAUGGGGGAAACCCUGAUGCAGCGACGCCGCGUGAGCGAUGAAGCCCUUCGGGGUGUAAAGCUCUUUCGACAGGAACGAUAAUGACGGUACCUGGAGAAGAAGCUGCGGCUAACUACGUG
rnacentral:rRNA from 1 species